GAACAUGAAGCUAGAGGAGGGGAACAGGCGCUGAGCCCUGGGACACCUGGUGCUUAGAGAACAGAAAUAGGAGAGGAACCAGCAACCAACAUGGAAAGGAAGCAGCCAGUGAGUUCAACAGUGACUUCAGUCCCCACCACAAGCCAAGCAUGGUGCCAGGUGCCAGGGAAAGAGGAAUGAUGAAAGGUAAAAGGUAAAGUAAGAAGGAGCAAGCUGUAAGAAGCCUGGCACCACAGAYGGCUUUCAGACCAACCUGUCACCUCCUUUUGAACAACCUUGCUUUUUAUCUGACAUUUCUGAAUGGUCUGCACCCUGGUACCCAAUCUGUGCAUGUUGCUGAGGUUCAUUUGCCCCUGCCAAGCAAGGACUGCUGUCAAGUAACACAGAGAUUUUUCUGGAUGCGUGCAUAGUUCUCUCUGCUCUGGCUGGUAAUUUCUGAAGAUAUCAUUCACUCCCCAGUACCAAGAUGGUAACUGGAGGUGAAAGCUGACUCCCAAAAGAAGCAGUGUCCUGUCCUCCUGAGAAGGACCAGUAAGCAGUGUGUAUUUGGGUCAGUGAAGCACUUGAAAUAACCACACCAGGAACACUGGAGGGUAAAUGUAACGGUGCCCAAGAAAAGGUGACAGAACACUUGAAGAGAAUAUUUCCUUCAUCUUCGCUGCCUUUUUCACUUUGUUUACAGGUCUGUCAAGAUGUUUGCAAAGUGAUCUUUACUGUCUUUGAGCAGUUCAUCUAGAAAAAAUAUUUCAUAAGAAUGACUAGGUGCCAGACACUAUCCAGUACAUAGAGAAGCUGCCCCCUGAUAUUCUAUCAUAUCAAGCUAGAUUGGCAGUUACCAAGAAGUAAUGGAGGCUUAGACCAUUUUUCAAGAGGCAAUCCCCCAAGCCUUUCAUAGUACCCUGACUCAAAACAAAAUCACUGCUGGGGGAGGCAGAUGGGUCUGUUAAAAAUCAGGAGGCCCAAAGAGGGUCCCAGCUCUUCAGGAAUAUCUGAGACCCUUCAUUCACCAGAAGGGAGACAGUUAAGAAACACCAGAAAUUCCCUGUUUUGAUGCUCCCCAGGCAAUGAAGGAUAUUUCUAGGAACAGAUAAUAAAAUAAGAGCACGUCUUGAGAAUGAGGCAAAAAAUAUCACAUAAUACAGGACUGAGAAAGCAGCGCCUUCCUCACCCCAAUGCUCCCCAUUACCUGCACCAUCUAAAUGUUCUCAGAGCAGACAAAACCAAAGAGGAAUGCUCAUUUUGAGAGCCUGAGCGCCCAUGAAUAGGAACAAUGGCAGGCAGGGGUGAUGUGUGUCUCUCCAGCCUACCCCCAUUACAUGGGUGAAAACACACAGUCUCUUUAUCAGAGCUUAGGGUCUCUAAGGAUUAAAAAAAAAAAAGAUAAAUAGCUUGAGCUUUCCCUCAGAAUCAGCUGUUUUGAUCCCCUAUACUCAAGAGUACUUAGUAAACAGUUAUUAAAAACAAUAGCAGCACUGGAAAAUACUAACCUGCUGGUGUUACCUCCUUUGACAGCCUUUAAAAUACCAACUGUGGGUUUUUAAGUCUGUUUUAAUACAAUUUCUAAGAGCCCAGGGAGGAGGUCCUACAGGAAUAUUGUUCAGAGGUUAUUCAGUUUAAAGAACUAAGACCCUAGGCUGGAUGGGGUCACAAAUUCCUGUGAUCAGCUGGCUCCCACUGGUGUGUAUUUACCAAGCUAUCAGGUUGAAACGCAACAGAAAAUCACAGAGAGCUCUUCCAGACCACAACCCAAAUUCUUGGAUUUUGGUUUUAGUUCCAGACAAAUAUGAUCAUUUUAAAUACUCUUCGGGGGAUCUAAGAAUGUCUGAAUUGGAGGAAAUUUAGAAAACAGCUUGCAGGAAGGAACUGCAUUUGUAUUUACUUCUGUUAUGAGGAUCCUCUGUCUCUACUCAAUCUAGGGGCUUUCAAGGAGAGAAAGGUUGAGCCAGGGCCCGGGAAGUGCAAGUUAAGAGAGCAUCUGAAUCUCUACAAGCUGCCCUGAGUGGUGGGACUUAUAGCGGGGUUUCCAGGAAUGGCUUCACCAUAGGUCCCUUCCUCCUGUCCCAACCACCAGAAGAAGAGCCAGCAUGAUUCAUGAAACAGCUUUGAACUACCAAUGAGGGUGAUGCUCUGAGGUUCGGAUCACUCUUUGUCCCUGGCAACUUAAUUCACCCCCACCUCCAGUUCUACCUACUUUGGACAAGACUUUAGUGCACACCACAGAACCCGGCAGGAAAAUAAAACCCAACUACUACUCUAUCAAGGGCCACACCUACCAUAGGAUAAGUAAUUUGCAUGGUUAUAAAGUCAGGAGGAAGAGAAAAGUCUAGCUAGAUAGGGAAAUGGGCCCCUGGGUGACUUCCUGGGCAGCAAAGCACAAAUAGCAGCUGUAGGUUUUUGCUGAGAAACUUGCAAAAAGGUUAUUUUUAAAUCAGGACAUAUGUGACUUGGAAUUCGUAACCUCUCCAAAGAAGGAAAAAUGCCUGAUCAAUAUUUUGAUUGGACUAAAGGCUGCAUGAAUGCCUCAUAAACACUGAAUGCCUUACCCAGGAUUGGGCAGGAGGCCGACUUCCUUAAACCUAAAGAUCCAUACAAACCCCUGGACAACUGGCAUCUCUCUUGGGACCCCUCCCUCCUUGGAAGCUCUGAUUUCUUUCUGUUAC